UACGAAGGGGGCGAGCGUUGUUCGGAUUUACUGGGCGGAAAGGGCGCGUAGGCGGUCGGACAAGUGGAAGGUGAAAUCCCCAGGCUCAACCUGGGAACUGCCCUCCAAACUGUUUGACUUGAGUCCGGGAGAGGUGAGUGGAAUUCCCAGUGUAGCGGUGAAAUGCGUAGAUAUCGGGAGGAACACCAGUGGCGAAGGCGACUUCCUGGCCUGUUCUUGACGCUGAGGCGCGAAAGCGUGGGGAGCGAACCGG
rnacentral:rRNA from 1 species